GUCGAUCAAUCCCUUCUUCCCCACCCACGGACGGAAAGUGAAUUUGAUUUUGUUAGCUAAAUUUUGCUUUUAUCAUGUCAUCUUUCUUGAAUGGCUGGGUCGAAUCUAUUUUUGACAGAAACGGUGAAUAGAAAUGUCUUUACAAUUAUGUGGGAAGACUGGGGAAAGUGCCUUGUCAGUUUUUUCCCCUCCUCUAACCUUAAUCUGGUAGUCCAUUGAUGUGUAAUGGUGUGCUUUUUCGUGGACUGAUUAUUCUCAUACUGGCUUCAGUCUUUGUGUAAUUAACUUCCUUCUCAUUGAUUUCAGUUUUCUGGCGUGAUUGUUAUUUAUUUGCUCCAAUCUGGGUGUAAUUUACAAAUAAUUCAUUGCAUUUAGCAUUUGGAUCGACA
rnacentral:lncRNA from 1 species